rnacentral:rRNA from 1 species
UACAGAGGUGGCAAGCGUUGUUCGGAAUUACUGGGCGUAAAGGGCUCGUAGGCGGCCAACUAAGUCAGACGUGAAAUCCCUCAGCUUAACUGGGGAACUGCGUCUGAUACUGGAUGGCUUGGAUUCGGGAGAGGAAUGCGGAAUUCCAGGUGUAGCGGUGAAAUGCGUAGAUAUCUGGAGGAACACCGGUGGCGAAGGCGGCAUUCUGGACCGAUAUUGACGCUGAGGAGCGAAAGCCAGGGGAGCAAACGGG